UCUGUGUUGCCAGCAUUUAGUUGGGGACUCACAGGAGGCUGCCGGGGUUAACUCGGAGGAAGGUGGGGAUGACGUCAAAUCAUCAUGCCCCUUAUGUCUUGGGCUGCACGCAUGCUACAAUGGCUGGUACAAACGGCUGCGAUACCGCAAGGUGGAGCGAAUCCGAUAAAGCCAGUCUCAGUUCGGAUUGGGGUCUGCAACUCGACCCCAUGAAGUGAGAGUUGCUAGUAAUCGUAGAUCAGCAACGCUACGGUGAAUACGUUCCCGGGGCUUGUACACACCGCCCGUCACGUCACGAAAGUCGGUAACACCCGAAGUCAG
rnacentral:rRNA from 1 species